ensembl:lncRNA
GCUUUGUCCAGCACAUAUCCGUGUGUGUGGAGAGCUCAGAGUCAGUCAUUGGAUCAUGUACGAGUUGGAGAAGGAGUCGUUGCGGCUCUACAGUCACUACAUCGUCCAUUUUUUACGACCCUCUUACAUCCGGGGAUUUCUGACAACAUACCUGGAGGAAGGCACAUGAGAAUAGUUUGGUAACUGAAAGAUUUCACCAUUUGAAACAUGAAGCAAUGGACUGGCAGGUUGUCCAGUGUGUACUCCCAUCUUGUGCUCGGUGUUCCCGAAGUCCAUCGCCACCCAGACCAGGAUAAAGUGCUUACUGAAGAUUAAUGAAUGAAUAACUAAUUAUUUCACCUGGGUGUAUUUUAUUAGCCAUUGGAGAGCAUUCCAUAUGCAGAAGGAGGGUAAGACACGCUGCGAGCAUUCACC